AGAGUUUGAUCCUGGCUCAGGACGAACGCUGGCGGCGUGCCUAAUACAUGCAAGUCGAGCGGACAGAUGGGAGCUUGCUCCCUGAAGUCAGCGGCGGACGGGUGAGUAACACGUGGGCAACCUGCCUGUAAGACUGGGAUAACUCCGGGAAACCGGGGCUAAUACCGGAUAAUUCUUUCCCUCACAUGAGGGAAAGCUGAAAGAUGGUUUCGGCUAUCACUUACAGAUGGGCCCGCGGCGCAUUAGCUAGUUGGUGAGGUAACGGCUCACCAAGGCAACGAUGCGUAGCCGACCUGAGAGGGUGAUCGGCCACACUGGGACUGAGACACGGCCCAGACUCCUACGGGAGGCAGCAGUAGGGAAUCUUCCGCAAUGGACGAAAGUCUGACGGAGCAACGCCGCGUGAGUGAUGAAGGUUUUCGGAUCGUAAAACUCUGUUGUUAGGGAAGAACAAGUACCGGAGUAACUGCCGGUACCUUGACGGUACCUAACCAGAAAGCCACGGCUAACUACGUGCCAGCAGCCGCGGUAAUACGUAGGUGGCAAGCGUUGUCCGGAAUUAUUGGGCGUAAAGCGCGCGCAGGCGGUUCCUUAAGUCUGAUGUGAAAGCCCCCGGCUCAACCGGGGAGGGUCAUUGGAAACUGGGGAACUUGAGUGCAGAAGAGAAGAGUGGAAUUCCACGUGUAGCGGUGAAAUGCGUANANAAUGUGGAGGAACACCAGGGCGAAGGCGANUNNNGNUCUG
rnacentral:rRNA from 2 species